GUCAACAUGCCCAGGGGACGUGGAUAACCUCGGGAAACUGAGGAUAAACCGCGAUAAGUCACUGCUUCUGGAAUGGGCAAUGACUUAAAUCUAUAUGGCCCCUGGAUUGGACUGCGGCCGAUCAGGCUGUUGGUGAGGUAAUGGCCCACCAAACCUGUAACCGGUACGGGCUCUGAGAGGAGGAGCCCGGAGAUGGGCACUGAGACAAGGGCCCAGGCCCUAUGGGGCGCAGCAGGCGCGAAACCUCUGCAAUAGGCGAAAGCCUGACAGGGUUACUCUGAGUGAUUUCCGUUAAGGAGAUCUUUUGGCACCUCUAAAAAUGGUGCAGAAUAAGGGGUGGGCAAGUCUGGUGUCAGCCGCCGCGGUAAUACCAGCACCCCGAGUGGUCGGGACGUUUAUUGGGCCUAAAGCAUCCGUAGCCGGUUCUGCAAGUCUUCCGUUAAAUCCACCUGCUUAACAGAUGGGCUGCGGAAGAUACUACAGAGCUAGGAGGCGGGAGAGGCAAGCGGUACUCGAUGGGUAGGGGUAAAAUCCGUUGAUCCAUUGAAGACCACCAGUGGCGAAGGCGGCUUGCCAGAACGCGCUCGACGGUGAGGGAUGAAAGCUGGGGGAGCAAACCGGAUUAGAUACCCGGGUAGUCCCAGCUGUAAACGAUGCAGACUCGGUGAUGAAUUGGCUUUAUGCCAAUUCAGUGCCGCAGGGAAGCCGUUAAGUUUGCCGCCUGGGGAGUACGGUCGCAAGACUGAAACUUAAAGGAAUUGGCGGGGGAGCACCACAAGGGGUGAAGCCUGCGGUUCAAUUGGAGUCAACGCCGGAAAUCUUACCGGGGGCGACAGCAGAAUGAAGGUCAAGCUGAAGACUUUACCAGACAAGCUGAGAGGAGGUGCAUGGCCGUCGCCAGCUCGUGCCGUGAGGUGUCCUGUUAAGUCAGGUAACGAGCGAGACCCCUGCCUCUAGUUGCUACCAUUAUUCUCAGGAGUAGUGGAGCUAAUUAGAGGGACUGCCGUCACUGAGACGGAGGAAGGAGGGGGCUACGGCAGGUCAGUAUGCCCCGAAACCCUCGGGCCACACGCGGGCUGCAAUGGUAAGGACAAUGAGUAUCGAUUCCGAAAGGAGGAGGCAAUCUCUAAACCUUACCACAGUUAUGAUUGAGGGCUGAAACUCGCCCUCAUGAAUAUGGAAUCCCUAGUAACCGCGUGUCACUAUCGCGCGGUGAAUACGUCCCUGCUCCUUGCACACACCGCCCGUCGCUUCAUCGAAGUUGGUUCUUGGCGAGGUGAUGCCUAAUUGGUACUAUCGAACCUGGGGUCAGCAACGAGGGAGAAGUCGUAACAAGGUGGCCGUAGGGGAACCUGCGGCCGGAUCACCUCCU
rnacentral:rRNA from 1 species